GUGGCUCCAGGUUUGUUUUUCUCCGGUACAGCCUGGUAGGGAGGGCUCCCGGCAUCUCCCUGCUUCGGGGCAGAGGAUGCCGGGGGUAGAGUACGGGAGGGCUGGAGCGAGGGUGGACUGGAGGUGCCGCUUGUCCUGGAGGUGGGAGAGAGGGAGCGGCUUUGCCGCCUGGCCUGCGUCCUAAUCCUGUCCUGGUUCUUCUGCUCCCGAAGGGAACGUAGGUCCCGCGCCUGUGAUAAGUAAGGUUGGAUUUUCUCUUCCCUGAGGUGAAGGAUGCCCGGAGGCCUCGGCAGGACCGUGCGGAAACGGGCCUUCUGCCCAAAAGAUGCUGCUUCUCUCCUUAUUCUUUCCCCUCAGAAUCUCGCUGUCUCCUUCCAACCACCUGUGGUCGGCAUCCCCGCGUUGUCACUGCGACGCAGAGGCGAGCGAGGUGGCGGGAAGCACCCGCGGGGCGGGGAGGGACCCUGCGGGCGCGGACUCCACACCAAGCCUCUGCUCAGCGUCACCCCGCUUGCUGUGUCCUCGCAGGUCGCAGCUUCAUGGCCUGAUGCCUUCAGGAAGUAUUUUGAAGUCAUCGUGGCUGUGGAUUGGGGGAUUUCUUGUUUCCACUGACCUGUGAGGCCGCGCACGUGGAGGGAGGCACCCCGGGUCCUCCGGCACUGUCCGGCCUCGCCUGUGUCCCUAGUAGCAGUGGGCAUUUCCAGACGGUGCAGCUUGUGGCUAAAGUGACAGGAAGAUGUAGGAGCUUUCAGUCUUGGAUGAGGAUUCGAACUGAAGGGCUUAGGCCCAGCUGUCUUGGAGCAAAACAUCUGUUGUGGGGUGAGAAGGGAAAGGAGGGGUGAGGGUGCAGGGGCCCUCCUAGGAGGACAUCGGACCUGUUGGGCCGAGACCUCAUUAGAGAUCUAGAGCACGGAUGGGAGGAGCAGAGGCUCGAUUUGUGUCCUGUUCAGACUCCCACAGGCUGGGUGAUGGUGGGAGAUUUGUGCCCAUUCAGAUGUGGCGGCAGAGGAGGGCAAGGCCGAAGGAGCAGACAGCACCGCUUCUUGGGGAGUUGUGAAGGCAUCAUGCGGAGGGCCGAGCUUAGCAGCCAAGUGGAGGACAGCACCCUCCAUGCCUGGAUUCGUUACUCGCUCGUUCUCGAUGUUGAGCUGCUGGCAUAUUGCAGCACAACUAGAGAUGUACGGAUGCCCCCAUCUUGAUCUUACAGAAUCAGAGGUGCAGCCGCAAGAAAGGUCUGUAAGUUAUCUAUUUCGGCUUUAUUUAAAAGAUGGGAUGGGGUGGGGUGGACAGGAAACAAGCUUAACAUGUUAAGUGACUGUUGACAUUGACACAUUUUGUUGUGGCAGAGUCAAGAACAGACACUGAGUCGCUUGAGGACUCAGGCAGGUGUUUGCUGCAUUGACAACAGAGUAAGAAAAAAUCCGUUUGCUUUUUAAAAUCCAAAGAUGGUUUUGAGAACCUGAAACCAAGUUAGAGCAAGUUCGUUUUCCUUCCAAAAAAACUGGGCUCUGCCGGGCGCAGUGGCUCACGCCUGUAAUCACAGCACUUUGGGAGGCUGAGGCCGGCAGAUCACGAGGUCAGGAGUUCGAGACCAGCCUGACCAACAUGGUGAAACCCCGUCUUUACUAAAAAUACAAAAAAUUAGCCCGACGUGGUGGUGCGCACCUGUAGUCCCAGCUACUUGGGAGGCUGAGGCAGGAGAAUCACCUGAACCCAGGAGGCAGAGGUUACAGUGAGCCAAGACUGUGCCAUUGCACUCCAGCCUGGGUGACAGGGCAGGACUCUGUCUCAAAAAAGCAAACAAAAAAAAACUGGGCUGAAAAAUACCACAUCACUUUUUUCAAAACCUUGUUGGGAUUCUCUGGUUUAUAAUAAAGAUUAAAACCUGAAUAUUUUUGUUUAGCAUCAGUUUUAAUGAAAGUAUUAUGUUCCAUUCUUUGGCUUUUCCUAACUUGCUUAAUUAGUUUAAUAUAUUGGUUUGCAUACUCUGUUAGAGUACAGCAUAAGUUGUUUAUAAGUCAGUAGAAAACCAAACGUUUUCACAUUUGAAAACUAAUGUGUCCAAGCAGUACAUAACCAUGCCAGAGUCAUGCAUGGACGUGUGAGUAUCUCCCUUUUAGAGAUGUUUUGCCAGCUGGGAGGUGGACAUUUUUAGGCAAGUGACAUUUCUCAUGUUCUUUUCUUGUUUGUAAGCUACACCCUCUCGGUUUUCUCUGCUCUGCCAACACUAGUGGAAUAUGAUCACAUCCCAGAGUUUCACUCUUUUUGCCCAGGCUGGAGUACAGUGGUGCGAUCUUGGCUCACUGCAACAUCUGCCUCCUGGAUUUUCAAGUGAUUCUCCUGUCUUAGCCUCCUGAGUAGCUGGGAUUACAGGGAUCAGUGUCAUUUAGGGAUGUGACUAUGGGCUUCACUCAAGAGGAGUGGCAUCAUCUGGACCCUGCUCAGAGGACCCUGUAGAGGAAUGUGAUGCUGGAGAACUACAGCCACCUUGUCUCAGUAGGGUAUUGCAUUCCUAAACCAGAAGUGAUCCUCAAAUUGGAGACAGGCAAGGAGCCAUGGAUAUUAGAGGAAAAAUUUCGAAGCCAGAGUCAUCUGGGUGAGUUAGUGCCAGAUGGAAUUUAAAGAAUUAAUUAAUACCAGUAGAAACUAUUCAAGAAUGAAGUUCAAUGAGUUUAACAAAGGUGGAAAAUGUUUCUGUGAUGAAAGCAUGAAAUAAUUCAUUUUGAAGAGGAACCUUCUGAAUAUAAUAACAAUGGGAACAGCUUCUGGCUGAAUGAAGACCUCAUUUGGCAUCAGAAGAUUAAAAAUUGGGAGCAACCUUUUGAAUACAAUGAAUGUGGGAAAGCUUUCCCUGAGAAUUCACUCUUCCUUGUACAUAAGAGAGCUUACACAGGACAGAAAACAUGCAAAUAUACUGAACAUGGGAAAACCUGUUAUAUGUCAUUUUUUAUUACUCAUCAGCAAACACAUCCAAGAGAGAACCACUAUGAAUGUAAUGAAUGUGGAGAAAGUAUCUUUGAGGAAUCCAUUCUCUUUGAACAUCAGAAUGUUUACCCAUUCAGCCAGAAUUUAAAUCCCACUCUAAUUCAGAGAACCCACUCAAUUAGCAAUAUUAUUGAAUAUAAUGAAUGUGGAACCUUUUUCAGUGAAAAAUUAGCCCUUCAUUUACAACAGAGAACACAUCCAGGGGAAAAACCUUAUGAAUGUCAUGAAUGUGGAAAAACCUUCACCCAGAAGUCAGCCCACACAAGACAUCAGAGAACACACACAGGGAAAACCCUAUGAAUGUCACGGAUGUGGGAAGACCUUCUAUAAGAAUUCAGACCUCAUUAGAAAUCAAAGAAUUCACACAGGGGAGAGACCUUACAGAUGUCAUGAAUGGAGAAAUCCUUCAGUGAAAAGUCAUCCCUUACUCAAAAUCAGAGAACACACGUGGGGAGAAAUCAUGAAUGUCAUGAAUGUGGGAAAACCUCGUUUAAGUCAGUUCUAACUGUGCAUCAGAAAACACACAGGGGAGAAGCCCUAUGAAUGCUAUGCAUGUGGCAACACCUUUCUCAGAAAAUCCGACCUCAUUAAACAUCAGAGAAUUCACACAGGAGAAAAACCUUAUGAAUGUAAUGAAUGUGGGAAGUCAUUCUCCGAGAAGUCAACCCUUACUAAACAUCUAAGAACACACAGAUGGGAAAUCUUAUGCAUGUAUUCAAUGUGGAAAAUUUUUCUGCUGCUACUACAGUUUCACAGAACAUCUGAGAAGACACACAGGGGAGAAACCUUUUGGAUGUAAUGAAUGUGGGAAAACCUUCCAUCAGAAGUUGGCCCUAAUUGUUCACCAGAGAACUCAUAUAAGACAGAAACCCUAUGGAUGUAAUGAAUGUGGAAAAUCAUUCUGUGUGAAGUCAAAACUCAUUGCACAUCAUAGAACAUACACAGGGGAGAAACCCUAUGAAUGUAAUGUUUGUGGAAAAUUAUUAUUAAGUCAAAACUAACUGUACAUCACAGAACACACUUGAGGUGAAACCCUAUAAAUGUAGUAAGUGAGGGAAAUUACUCUGGGUGAAGUCAGAACUUUGUAGAGCAGAGAACAUAAAGGGUGAGAGAAAUCUGUUAAUAUAAUGAUAAUGAGAACACCUUUGCCCUGAAGUCAGUUCUCACAGUAGAGAAGAGAACUUAAAGAGGGAAAAAACAAUAUGAAGAUAUGGAAUGCAGGAAAACAUUAUUCUGGGAUUUGGGCCAUAGAUUAUGUUUAAGAACUAAAAGUGAAAAACACUUAUUGGUGAAUGAAUAUAGGAAACAUUUUGCUCAAUGCCACACCUCAGUAAACAUCAGAGAGUUCACACAGGGUGAAACCUGGCUCAACAUCCGUAAGUUGAGAAGGGAUGCAUUUUUUUGCUACUACUACAGUUUCACAGAAUAUCUGAGAAGACACACGGGAGAAACUUUUUGGGUGUAAUGAAUGUGGGAAAACCUUUCACCAGAAGUGGGCCCUAAUUGUUCACCACAGAACUCAUAUAAGACAGAAACCCUAUGGAUGUAAUGAAUGUGGAAAAUCAUUCUGUGUGAAGUCAAGAGGCCACAGAAAAUGCACAAACUAUAGGAAAGCAUUUACUAUGAGGUUAUAUUUUAUAGAGUAUAUGUAAUAAGAAGUACCUUCUUAGUGAACAUCAGAUAGUGAGAAAGUAUUUUUAACUGUAUCCAAUGUGUGGACACUUUAGGUUAAAAUCUAAAUUUAAUAUAGACCAGAGGUGUUGAAUUGCAGGAUAUCUAGCAAUUUAAGAACAUGUAGAGAAAAGGUUUUCUUUUUUUUUUUUUUUUUUUUUUUUGAGACAGAGUCUCGCUCUGCCACCCAGGCUGGAAUGCAGUGGCAUGAUCUCGGCUCACUGCAAGCUCUGCCUCCUGGGUUCAUACCAUUCUCCUUCCUCAGCCUCCCAAGUAGCUGGGACUACAGGCGCCUGCCACCACACCUGACUAAUUUUUUGUAUUUUUAGUGGAGACAGGGUUUCACCAUGGUCUCGAUCUCCUGACGUCGUGAUCUGCCCGCCUCGGCCUCCUAAAGUGCUGGGAUUACAGGUGUGAGCCACCACGCAAAAAAAGGUUUUUAUUGAGAAAUAGCAUUUUACUUUGCUUAUAUCCAGUUCAGUUCAUUGUCAAGACUGCUGUUUUCUGACACUUGAAAAGAUGCCACGCUGGAGCCAAUGACUAUAACUAGGUCAAAGAUGUAUUGCUUAGCCAUAUGUAAAAUAAGGGAAGAGUUUUUAGCAAAGGGAACCAUAAGCAAGAGUGCUUUUGUAUGUCCAGGAAGAAAGAGACCCUUAAUCUGGGGCCAUAGGACAGGAGCCCACCAGCAGGAUUUUUGAAUAAUCCUGGGGCAGACUAAUUUUGGGUGACCCGUCUCAGAAUGGUGGAUCAAGGGGGCAAGUCAACUUGCCUUGUAUGCAGCUUAAGAGGAUUAGUAGAAGAGAGUGGGUCCAGAUUUCUGGUGGUUUCUGCCCUAGCAGAUGUCCAACACAUAAGCCAGGACAUUCUGCUGUGAGUGACUUAUUGUACCCAACUCUAUUUCUCUCCAAAGUGAAAUACAUUUUUCAUAGGUGAUAUAACUUUUUAAAAUGUAUAUAGAGAUAUAACUUAAAUAUGGGGCUUUGAAAAAGCACAAAUAGGCUGAGCAUGGUGGCUUGCACCUGUAAUCCCAGUACUUUGGGAGGUUGAGGUGGGCAAGACCUGAGGUCAGGAGUUCCAGACCAGCCUGGCCAACAUGAUGAAACCCUGUCUCUACUAAAAAUACAAAAAUUAGCCAGGCAUGAUUGCGCACAUCUGUAGUCCCGGCUACUAGAGAGGCUGAGGUGGGAGGAUCACUUGAACCUGGGAGUUGGAGGUUUCAUUGAGCUGAGAUCAUGCCACUGCACUCCAGCCUGAGUGACAGACACUUUAAAAAAAAAAUAGAUUUUGCUAUUGGGUAAGGUAUAGUAGUCGGCAGCAGAAUGGACUGAUUGAGGACAACUAUAAAAUUACAAAAAAUAUUUAAAUGCAACUUAUUGCUAUAGAAGCAAAGAGAACUAAAGGAGCAAAAUUCUAGAGAGUGGUAAAUCCCAGAAAGCACAUGCACAGAAUGCAGCUCUUUGCUCUGGGGACCCUUUCCACUUCUGGCUAUAGGGAAGAACCUGAAUACUGAACUUGGUUCAGGCAGAGGGCCAUACCCUGGGGGUCAGGGGAAGGCAUGGGGGGGACCAGAAACCAGGAGAACAAUCAAGACUGCAAUUAAAAAAAAAUGGAUACAUUAGGGGCUUCAAACACAUAAUUUCUCAAGAAAUUUCCAGAUAUCUCAUGCUGCAUAGGGCAGGAGGCUGAAAAGCUAAUUUGAGAAGAAAACAAGUAGGAUUUUUGUUUUGUUUUGCAUUUUGCAAUAUGGAGGAGAAAUGAUUAGACCUUAGGAAGUGCCAGUGGGUUGGUCCUUUCAUGAACAUGCCAUCAGUAAAAGCCCUGGAAACAAGGUCAUACCAGAGAUUCAUUGUACCUUGUCACAACUGCAAACAAUAUCUGAGUGGAAUAUUCAAAAACUUGCUUAGAAAGAAAACUCUAGGACAGAUGGCUCCACUGAAGUUAUUCCAAAUAUUUAAUAAAUAAAGCAUACCAGGCUUUUAUAAACUCUUCUAGAAGAAAAAAGUUGGAACUUUUCCAAUUCAGUUUUUCAGGCCAGUGCAACCUUGAUACCAAAACCAAUAAAACAAACAAACAAACAAAAAACAUAAAGCUAUAGACCAAAGUCUCAUAGAUUUAGAUGCAAAAUCCUAAAAUUGAAAAAAAAAGUCUAGUCAUAUCCAUAAACUGUAUCAUCACCAAGAGAUGUUUAUUAGGGCAAUCAAAAGAUGAUUUAUUAUUUUUUAAAAAAUCAAUGUGGCCUUCCCUUCCUCUUUCUUUUGAUUCCCCUCUUUGAGUUUUUAUGUGUCUCUUUUGCCUUCCCUUCCCAGAGUGGAGGAGUUAGACCUGCAUUGUGGGAUGAGAGGAGUUGUGGCUAUGUGUCUGCUGGCACCAAGAGGGCUGAGGGUGAGGUGUGGAAGGGACAGGGGGAGGAGAUGGGCAGCAUUGUUAAGAGAUUGGUACCACUGAGCAAAUAUGUUGAGAAUGAUGAUGGCAAGGUUUCUCCCUGUUAGAGAAGGUAUUUGUAGAAAUAGGAAUGAGGAGAGCUAGAAAACCUGGAGUGUGGGAUUAGAAUAGAACUCAUAUCUUUUAAAUACAUAGGAACAAUAGAGAAAUUGUUGGGUGUGCCCAUAUACAUAUAUUUUGUGAUUCAUUCUACCGAGAGGACAUAAAUGCAGUCACAGCUCAGUAACAGUAAACACACCAACUGCCAAGUUAUUAUUUCCUAAAUACUAUCCACAAAAAAGGGGACCAGGGAUGAUUCCUAGUCGGAGAUUGGGAGAAAAAGAAGAUGAGCCUGAAUCAUUUCAUGUACCUAACAGAAAGAAAAUACUCUGGCUGGGCUCAGUGGCUCAUGUUUGUAAUUCUAGCAUGUUAGGAGGUCGAGGUGGGUGUGUUGCUUGAGCCCAGGAGUUUGAGACCAGCCCAGGCAACAUGGCAAAACUGUCUCUACAAAAAAUAUAAAAAUUAGCCAGGCGUGGUGGCAUGCACCUGUCAUCCGAGAUACUCAGGAGGCAGAGAGGUGGGAGGAUCACUUGAGCCUGGGAGAUUGAGACUGCAUCGAGCUGUGAUCAUGCCACUGCACUCCAGCCUGGAAGACAGAGUGAGACCCUGUCUCAGGAAAAAAGAAAAAAAAAAGAUGUUGCUCAGCAAGUUAAUGGACAAACUGUGCAAUAUCCAGAAAACUUUAACAUUCUUCAAAGAAAUAGAAAACACAAUCCUAAAAUUUAUAUGGAAACCACAAAAGACCUAGAAUAGUCAGAGUUAUCCUGAGCAAAAGGAAUCAAACUGGAGGGAUCAUAUUACCUGACUUCAAAUUAUUCUACAGAGCUACAGUAACCAAAACAGCAUGAUACUGGCAUAAAAACAGACACAUAGGAACAGAAUAGACAACCCAGAAACAAAUUCAUACAUCUACAGUGAACUCACUUUUGACAAAGUUAUGAAGAACAUACAUUGGGGUAAAGAUAGUGUCUUUAAUAACUGGUGCUGGGAAAGCUGGAUAUCCGUAUGCAGAAGAAUGAAACUAGACCCCUAUCUCUUAACAUAUACAAAAAUCAAAAUUAAUUAAAAAGUUAAAUCUAAGACCUCAAACUAUGAAACAGCUAAAAUAAAACAUUGGGGAAUCUCUCCAGGACAUUGGAGUGGGCAAAGAUUUUUUGUGUAAUACCUGACAAACAGGCAACCAAAGCAAAAAUGGACAAGUGGGAUCACAUCAAGUUAAAAAUCUGUAUUGCAAAGGAAACAACAAAGUGAAGAGACAACCCAUAGAAUGGGAAAGAAUAUUUGCAAACUAUCCAUCUGUAUUAGGCCAUUCUUGAAGUACUAUAAAGAAAUACGUGAGACUGGGUAAUUUAUAAAGAAGAGGUUUAAUUGGCUCACAGUUUUGCAGGCUGUACAGGAAGCAUGGUGCUAACAUCUGAUCAGCUUGUAGGGAGGCGUCAGGAAGCUUCCAACCAUUGUGGAAGGCAAAAGGGGAAUAAGUAUCUCACAUGGCAGGAGCAAGGGCAAAGAGAGGGGGAGGGAGGUGCCACACACUUAACCAGAUCUUGUGAGUACUCAGGUCUUGUGAGGGUUGCUUGAGGUCAGGGAUACCCCAUUUACCCUGAUGUGUUCAUAUACAUUUCAUGACUGUAUCAAAAUAUCUCAUGUACCCCCAUAAACAUAUACACCUAUUUGUACCCACAAAAAUUUAAAAAUAAUUUCAAUGUUUGAAGACUCAUUAUUAAAAUAAUAGCAGUUUCUAUAAAUUUAAUAUUUCAAUAAAACUCCCAAUAUUUAUUCUUAACACUGGAAAAACUUUUCCAAAAUGCAUAUGGCAGAAAUAUGGGCGUUGAUGAAAGGACAGCAUCAAUUAAUGAGGGAUCCUCCCCCUUGACGAAAAUACCUUCCACCAAGACCCACCUUUAAUGCUGAGGAUUACAUCUCAAAAUGAGAUUUGGGCAGGGACAAAUAUCCAAACUAUAUCACUAGCUAUAUCAGGAGCUGUAACUAUAACUAUAUCAGGAACUAUAACAAUUCUAUAGAAAAAAAAUUAAUCUGAAAACUGGACAAAAAUCUGAAUAGGCAUUUCUCGAAAGAAGACAUACAAAUGGCAAACAGGCAUAUGAAAAUGUACUCAACAUCAUUGAUCCAUUAGAGAAAUGCAAAUCAAAACUACAAUGAGAUAUCAUCUCACCCCAGUUAAAAUAUCUUCUGUCCAAAAGACAGGUAACAACAAAUGCUGAAGAGGAUGUGGAGAAAAGGGAACCCUCGUGCACUGUGGAAGUGUAUAUUAGUACAACCACUAUGGAGAACAGUUUGUAGGUACCUCAAAAACUAAAAAUAGAGUUACCAUACAAUCCAGCAAUUCCACUGGUAGGUAUAUACCCCAAAGAAAGGAAAUCAGUAUAUUGAAGAUAAAUCUGCACCAUGUUUACUGUAGCACUACUCGCAAUAGCCAAGAUUUGGAAGCAAUCCAAGUGUCCAUCAGCAGAUGAAUGGAUAAAUAAAAUAUGGUACGUAUACACAACGGAGUACUAUUCAGCCAUAAAAAAGAAUGAGAUCCUGUCAUUUGCAACAUUAUAGAUGGAACUACAGAUCAUUAAGUGAAAUAAGCCAGGCACAGCAAGACAGACAUCACAUGUUCUGACUUAUUUAUUGGAGCUAAAGAUGAAAACAACUGAACUUCUAGAGAUAGAGUAGAAGAAUGUUUACCAGAGGCUGGGAAAGGUAGUGGGGGCAUGAUGAGGGGGAAUUGGGGAAUGUUAAUGGGCACAAAAAGGUAGAAUGACUAAGACCUAGUAUUUGAUAGCACAACAAGGUUACUACAGUCAAUAAUAAUUGUACAUUUUUAAGGUAUAAUUGAAUUGUUUGUAACACAAAGGAUAAAUGCUUGAGGUUAUGGAUAUCCCAUUUACCCUGAUGUGAUUAUUAGACAUUGCAAACCUGUAUCAAUAUAUCAUGUACCCCAUAGAUGUAUACACCUAGUAUGUACCCAAAAAAAUUAAAAAUAAAGUAAAAAUUUCAAUGAUUAGGAAGACCAUUAUUAAUAUGUUUUCUUUAAAUGUUUCUGUAAAUUUGAUACAAUUUCAAUAAAGCUUCCAAUAUUUAUUCUUAGUACUGG
rnacentral:lncRNA from 1 species